rnacentral:rRNA from 1 species
GACGAACGCUGGCGGCGUGCUUAACACAUGCGAGUCGAACGGAAAGGCCCUGCUUUUGUGGGGUGCUCGAGUGGCGAACGGGUGAGUAACACGUGAGUAACCUGCCCUUGACUUUGGGAUAACUUCAGGAAACUGGGGCUAAUACCGGAUAGGAGCUCCUGCUGCAUGGUGGGGGUUGGAAAGUUUCGGCGGUUGGGGAUGGACUCGCGGCUUAUCAGCUUGUUGGUGGGGUAGUGGCUUACCAAGGCUUUGACGGGUAGCCGGCCUGAGAGGGUGACCGGCCACAUUGGGACUGAGAUACGGCCCAGACUCCUACGGGAGGCAGCAGUGGGGAAUAUUGCACAAUGGGCGGAAGCCUGAUGCAGCAACGCCGCGUGCGGGAUGACGGCCUUCGGGUUGUAAACCGCUUUCGCCUGUGACGAAGCGUGAGUGACGGGAAUGGGUAAAGAAGCACCGGCUAACUACGUG